CCACCGGGGACUGCCGCCCUUCCAGCGCUCCCUGCACCAUCCCAGCCGCGUUUGAGGGAUGCUGAGUUACCAACGCGCAGAAAAUUAAAAUGACCGGUUGACAGGAAAGCCAUACGGAGCUAUGGAUGAUCUAAGGGCAGCUCACUCUUCACCCGAGUUAUGGAGAGACACCGCUGAAAGAUUUGGGACGACUGCGAGACAAAAUUCACAGCGAGGUGUUCUCUGGAGUACAGCAUUGUCUUCAGGAGCUCCUCUCCCUCGAUGAGGGAGACAGGCAGGGAGAGUAUGAACUAUAGUCCUAAUCUUCUGGUUCAUUAAUUUGUAAAUGUUGAUCUGAAUCUCAGGAAGAUCUCUUUGGGAAGACUUUCCACGGAUAAAAUUGGAAAUUGGGACAUAAAUAAAACUGACUUGACCAUCUCAUUUUGAGGAAGGCUUUGAUAGAGCUGCUGAAGGGAGCAUCUUACCCCUCAUUUGGAUUUUGGUGAUUGUAUCCCCAGCUGCUCUGAAGUGAAGAACAGAUGUCAGUAGCUCCACAACAAGCUGUCUCACAUUAGGAGAUUAAUACAGGAAUUUGAUAAACAGCAGGCAGUAUCCUGGCACCAGCUGUCUGCUUCAGUCAGGACACAUAUGUGAACUGUGGCUUGUUUAUUAAAAACUGAAUAUUAGUUCCUCUGAGAUUAUUUAUGUUAGUAUUGCACUUUUGCAUUAAAGAAGCUUCAGUAAUGC